CGAAAUGCGAUAAGUAAUGUGAAUUGCAGAAUUCCGUGAAUCAUCGAGUCUUUGAACGCAUAUUGCGCUCUCUGGUAUUCCAGAGAGCAUGCCUGUCCGAGCGUCAUUUUCAACCCUCAAGCCUGGCUAGUGUGAUGGGCCAGCGUCUCCACGAUCUUCCGGGAGGGAGACGGUCCCGAAAUGCAGCGGUGACGUCUAGGUGAACGAUCCAAGUGUAAUGGGGCUCUGUCACACGCUUGGGGCGUAUCUUUUCACGUCUGCCCGUUAGAACUCUCAUUCUAAGGUUGACCUCGGAUCAGGUAGGGAUACCCGCUGAACUUAAGC
rnacentral:misc_RNA from 1 species